rnacentral:rRNA from 1 species
GGGGGGGGCAAGCGUUGUUCGGAAUUACUGGGCGUAAAGGGCUCGUAGGCGGCCAACUAAGUCAGACGUGAAAUCCCUCGGCUUAACCGGGGAACUGCGUCUGAUACUGGAUGGCUUGAGAUUGGGAGAGGGAUGCGGAAUUCCAGGUGUAGCGGUGAAAUGCGUAGAUAUCUGGAGGAACACCGGUGGCGAAGGCGGCAUCCUGGACCAACACUGACGCUGAGGAGCGAAAGCCAGGGGAGCAGACGGGAUUAGAUACCCCGGUAGUCCUGGCCCUAAACGAUGAAUGCUUGGUGUGGCGGGUAUCGAUCCCUGCCGUGCCGAAGCUAACGCAUUAAGCAUUCCGCCUGGGGAGUACGGUCGCAAGGGUG